rnacentral:rRNA from 1 species
CAAGCGUUACUNGGAAUCACUGGGCGUAAAGGACGCGUAGGCGGAUUAUCAAGUCUCUUGUGAAAUNUAACGACUUAACCGUUAAACUGCUUGGGAAACUGAUAAUCUAGAGUAAGGGAGAGGCAGAUGGAAUUCUUGGUGUAGGGGUAAAAUCCGUAGAUAUCAAGAAGAAUACCUAUUGCGAAGGCGAUCUGCUGGAACUUAACUGACGCUAAUGCGUGAAAGCGUGGGGAGCAAACAGGAUUAGAUACCCUGGUAGUCCACGCCCUAAACGAUGUAUACCGGUUGUUGCUGUGCUAGUCACGGCAGUAAUCCACCUAACGGAUUAAGUAUACCGCCUGGGGAGUACGGUCGCAAGAUUAAAACUCAAAGGAAUAGACGGGGACCCGCACAAGCGGUGGAGCAUGUGGUUUAAUUCGAAGAUACGCGAAGAACCUUACCCGGACUUGAUAUCUAACAAAUCAUCCAGAGAUGGAAGAGUGUCUGCUUGCAGAAAUGUUAAGACAGGUGCUGCACGGCUGUCGUCAGCUCGUGUCGUGAGAUGUUGGGUUAAGUCCCGCAACGAGCGCAACCCACGUCAUUAGUUGCUAACGGUUCGGCCGAGCACUCUAAUGAGACUGCCUUCGUAAGGAGGAGGAAGGUGUGGACGACGUCAAGUCAUCAUGGCCCUUAUGUCCGGGGCGACACACGUGCUACAAUGGCAUAUACAAUAAGACGCAAUAUCGUAAGAUGGAGCAAAUCUAAAAAAUAUGUCCCAGUUCGGAUUGGAGUCUGCAACUCGACUCCAUGAAGCCGGAAUCGCUAGUAAUCGUAGAUCAGCCAUGCUACGGUGAAUACGUUCCCGGGUCUUGUACUCACCGCCCGUCACACCAUGGGAGUUGAUUUCACUCGA